rnacentral:lncRNA from 1 species
CCGGAGGUCUGGCCUGUGGAUGAGAUUGUUCCUUAUUUCCCCAGCUUCAGCACCACAGAAGAGACCAGAGUCUACCUUGCCAGCUCCUCUAGCACCGACCACGUGCCAAUUCAUGUCCUGAGCACGGGAACAGAAAAGCCUAGAGAGGAUGGAUUACCUGUCCCGUUGCCUCCCACUGCAGAGUGGGCGUGUCUUAGGAGCUUCUCUUCUUCUCCAGCCCAGUGCGGCCUCGUGUCAUCCAUACGACCCACCGGCAGAGGGCAGGGCCUGCGAGUGGGGCCAGCCUCCUGGUGACUCUCGCCUCCUCUUUUCCAGCGGACGCUACCAGAGGACGAAGGUCUGACUCUGGCCAACGGCCCGGAAUUUCUGGCCCAGUUUUGCCUGAGGAAGCCAAUUGUGCAGGAGGUCAGGAUCCCGGUAGGGUGAGAGUGGGAAAGUUAACAUUCCCAAGAGACUCCAAGCAACAGGAUUUCCUGACCUGGGACUAUUACCUUUCUCACAUUACAUGGCCAGAUUUACUUCCUGCUAUUAUUAAAAGUAUGAAAAAGAUGAAGAUAUUUGUUUAAUGGAAACAAGGGCAAGAGUUUGCCUGACUGGACUUUGAGGAGGCUGUAGGAUCAUGGCGCUAACGGCGGGUGGGUGGUAAGUGCAAUGCUGAAUCAGAACUCAUAGAGCUGCUGGGUGGACAUGUGAAGUAAAAGAGGAGACAGGUUUUGCUCCUGAAGGAUGCCAUUUGCAUUUUCCUCAUCAGUUUGAUCUCCUCCUCCAAUCAUCCAGCACCUCCAUCUGACCUUCUCAGCUGAGAGGUCCUCAGUGUUUCUGUGGCCUCCAGGAGAAAGGUCCCCCUCCCCGGCUGAGGCCAGGCUGAUGGCAGGCUGCACGGCCAGCCUUCCACAGUCACCUGAAGGAUAGAGAAAAGGAAGAGCUGGAGGCUUCUAGCAAGCUGCCGAACUGCGUCCUCCAGCUGCGCCCAGCCCGCUGGAGGUAGCGCCGGAGCACGUGGUGGUGGCUAUGUAGGAAGGCCCCUUUCGAGCCGCCCUAUACUGUCUUUGGGAUCUGCUUUUUACUGCCACAGCCUAUGUGCUCCUGAUUCUUCUCUCAAUCCCUGGAUGGAAACCGGCCUCUGAUCCUUGGCUCUGCUUCCUUGGAGGAGCUACUUAACCAUUCAGUCCUCUCCGCAGUUAGCUAUUAAGGUUGUCCUGCGAACUGAAGCAGAGAGUCCCCGCAAAGGGUGCAGAGUAGGGCACCCACAGAGGAGCCUCUAAAGCACUUUCCAUGAGGUGGAUGGCUUCUCCUCCCCAGGAGACCCAGGAAGGAAAGGAGAGCUGCUUCUGCCUCCCCAGCAGAGAGGGAACUUCCAGAGAAGAUGUCUUGUGCCUCACCUGAUCUUGUUCUGAGAGUAGGAGACUGGAAGAGAAGCAUUCAACUCCCCAAACACAGCUGGGUUUGUUUCGUUUAAUCUCCCAGCCUGUUUUUCUGCUGUCCUCCUGAAGAAUGUUUAAUCUCACAGU